GGGCUAGAAGCUGGUAAAUAUAGAGAGGACAGCACAAAGGAAAGCAAUAAGCCUCUGUGGGGAGGGGAUCAUGGAGAGCGAAAGAAGGGGGUGGAAUUUAAUAGGUUUGUGUGUAGCCUGUGUUAAUCUAGUUUUGGGGAGCAUAUAAAUAGAUACUGUCACAUUUUAGGAAGCCUUCUCUUCUGUGGUAAGAGGCCCGUGAGAACCUACAGAAGAAGUAAUUAUGAAGGCUAGUUUAGCAUAUUCUGAUACUUCUCUCUAAAUAAUAGAUUGCACCGACUGACUGGAACAAUUCCACCCACCCACUUGGGUGCUCUCUGAGUGGUGCUUGUGUCUAUUGCCAAUUACCCGACAAGUGAAAUCUUUCCCCAAUCCCACAGGUAGUAAAAUAUACCGCUUUAAGCAUUGCCUCCCUCCCCGUGUAGAGAACCUGUUGUCAUUUAUGCCAUUAGGUGCCCACAUAGCUAACUAUGCAUGGGAGGAAAGAAGCAGGCCUCUCAGGAAAAGGAUCUGAGGGGAAGGGCACGGCACAGCACCCUGAUGAGCAAGAAGAGCUUCGUCAUCACUUAAAAGGUUUUUCUUUUUCUUUUAUAGAAAUGCAAAGGCACUGGAUUGAACUUGGGUGCAGCGGAAAUGUUAAAUAAGGAGAGUUAGCCAUAGCUAUUCAGAAGAGAAGGCUGGGUUUCAAAUGCUUCGUGCAGUUGUUCUGUUUAUUUUUCUUGCUUGUGGAAUACUUCCCCCCUCAUUUUUAGCACUAGAAACCCCACAAAAACCUCAGUUCUUUCUUUCCGUGUGAAAGGAUAGGCAACCACUAGGCCACAUGCACAGUUCGGCCUAGUUCUGUCUUGCUUUUGAGGAGAAAGCGGGAGCCUUGCCUGCUUACCAAAGCGUUCACAGUAAAUAUAAACACAUUUGUGGCAUUUCUGUCCAUUAGUGUUAAGUCUUUGAACUAUAACAUACUGGGGGGGGGGGGUGUUGGUUGGUUGGGGGUUGAAGAAAGGCACUCCAGAGAGCCUCAGGGUUGUUUUCCAGUCAGUAUCCUGAAUAAUCAGUGUCUGCCUGCCUUGCACAUUUCCUUAAUAAACCCACCCGUUUCUUUAUUCCACUCUGCUUUCUCCAUUCCCUAUGAAUUGCGCUCCCAGCCAAUACAAGAACUGCGGAGAUCUUUGUAAGAGGCACUGGCAACUGAGCGCCUAACUAACUCAGACAAUCCCCUUUCUUCACACAGAUUCAGCUGCUGAUGGUUGCCUUCAGCUUAAAGGCUGCAAUUCUGUGCACACCUGCUUCCCAACCCUAUGUGCAUUUCCUUAGAAGUAUGUUUCAUUUUGACACGGGGACAAAUAAAAGAUGCCUUCACCUUGGUAUGGUUCUUCUUUUGUAACAUACACAGCCCAACAUGACAACAAGAAGAAUCCACCAACAUCAUACGGAUCAAUCUGGCUAACCUGAUCCAAAAACACACACACAAAACCAAAUUUCACUACAGCCAAUCAAAGACAACCAGCGGCGUAGCGUGGGUUGUCAGCACCCGGGGCAAGGCAAGUAAUUUGCGCCCCCUAACCCGGGGCAAGGCAAGUAAUUUGCGCCCCCUAACCCCUAACCUGCCGCCGCUGCCAGCUUCUUCUUGCUGCUGCCUGGGCUGGUCUGGUGUGGUUCUCUCCUGCGCUCAGCACUGCGCUGGGCGGCCGCUGCACUGUCCCUCCCCCAGAUAGUCCCUCGCUUUCUCUCCGCACCGCACGCCUGGCACCCACCCCCUCCACAGUGGGCGGCCACCCAGCGGCUCAGAUCGGAUUCGCACAGCCAGCACUGCAGUGAGAGAGAGUGAGUGAGCCAGGUAGGGGCAGAGAGCUGCGAGUGCGAGCGCGCCCCCCCAGAUGUUGCGCCCGGUGCGGCCGGCCCCCUGCACCCCCCACGCUACGCCACUGAAGUCAACCAACCACACCCUAGGCCACCCCCAACCUCUCUCGCCACCAAAGAAAUAAAACAAGCAAAUAGUAAGAGAACCCACACAAGUGACACUGACACAAAACCCCACACAUACACUAAGUAGAAGAAUAGAAGCAUUGCCACCCGACUCCACCCCACUCACCAUUUCCCCUCCACCGCUUUCCCCCUUUUCUUUCUAACCUAACACUGUAUGUAACACUAAUGUAUCACAACAAAUGAAAUUGAUCUGUAGAAAAAGCAAAUUGAAAAAAGAGACAAUGCACAUAUUUUUUGUAAACUAAGAAAUAUUUAAUAAAAAAAAAUUAAAGGAGUAUGUUUCACUGAGUUAAACAGGUCUUGCUCUCCAGGAAGUGUGCAUUGCUUUGCAGCUUUGUUUUUGGAAGACCUGUUAUUUCAGAGGGACUUACUCCUGGGUAAACUUGCACAUGAUACAGCUGUAAUUUAUACUACCUGAGGAACUGGUUCAAUUUUCCUCUCAGUCUGCAGCUCCUGUUAAAUUUAUUUAGUCAGUUCCAAAUACUGGAUUUCAUAGAUCCAUUAAUUUCCCUUCCCAGUAGCUUAGACUUUAUCUGAAAUGGAUGCAAAUGUUGACAUUAUAGAGAAUUCAAUAGCAGUCCAAUAAAGGGAGAAAACAUGGCGCUAGUGCAAAGGCUAAGGUUUUCUAAGGCAGUAUAGUAAAACAAAAGAACUUCAGCUGAUCGCUUGGAUAACACAGCUAAGUAGAACAUCUGGCGUGGGUUCUUUCAAACCCAAGGACUAAAACCACCAUUACACUGUCUUUGUUCAGGCAUUUGGUGAACCUAUGAAUGGUGGUGAUUGACGAGGAAGGAGAUACUGGGGUUGUGAUGGAUAGGUGGUUGAAAAUGUUGACCCAGUGCACGGCUGCAGUGAAAAGGGAAAAAUCCAUAUUAGGGAUCAUUAGGAAAAGGAUUAAAUAUAAAACUGCUAAUAUCAUAAUGUCACUUUAUAAAUCUAUGGUGUAGAGCUGGAAAAGGUUCAGAAGAGGGAAAAGAAAAUGAUAAUGAGGUUGGAGGAAUUCCCCUACGCAGAAAGGUUUCAACACUUGGGGCUUUUGGUUUUAGGAAAAAGGUGAGUGAGGAACAGCAGGAUGGAGGUGUAUAAGGCUGUGCAUAAUGAAGAGAAAAAUGAGUAUGAGAGAGCCUUUUCUCCUUUUCUCAUAAUAGAAUCUGCGGCCAUCCAAAAAAGUUAAUUUUUGGAAGAUUUAGGAUAGACAAGAGCAUAGCACAUAGUUAAACUAUGGAAUUUGCUAUCAUAAGAUGUAGUGAUGUUCUUGCUUUUUGUCUUGCUUGGUUUCACAAUUUGCUUCUUCACUUUGAUUUGGGCUGGGUUGUUUCCAUUUUUGCUAUGGAAACAUAUGUUUGGUUUGCCACUAGAAGCAGCAGAUGCUGCACCAGAUGGACCUUUGGCCUCAUCUAGCAGGGAUCUUCUUGUGUUCCAAAAGUGAAGAAUUAUGAGUUGGGUCACACCUGUUGACUCUGCCUCUGCUUUCCCUGUGUUUUAGGAUCCUGUGUUCAUAGAGCCUUUCCCAUACAUCUGGGGGUGGGUGGGCUUCUGUAAGCGUGACUUGGUGCUCUCAAAAGUGGAAGUCACUGGACAGAACAUUCAGGAUACUGUGCACUUUUGGGUGCAAGACGCCAGUGGCCAAUGAAGACACUGAUUUGCACCUUGAGGAAUAAUGCUCUUGAUUAUGUUGUGGUGCAGGGUCCCCAUCUAAAUAUGUUUUAAGUAGAGGGACACACAUCAGAUAGUGUAUUGGGAAGAUUUCUGGAGAGCAUACUCAAGGCUGGUGUCCCUGUGCUGAAAAAGGUCAACUUUCUGUGUCGAGGCAACUCAAAUUCUGCAUCAAUAAAAACCUAAUGUCUGUGAUUACCCUAGUAAUGUAAGGAUUUCAAAAGGGGCAGAGGAUCUGAGUUCAUUUCCUGGCACCUUCAGUUAAAAGGGUCAGACAGCAGGUGAUGUGCAAGAAGACCUCCACCUGAGACCCCAUAGAGCUAGGGGCAGAAUAGACAAUGUCUGGCUAAAUUGACAAACAAUGAAGCCUGGCAUAAGGCAACUUCCUAUGUUUUAAUUUAGUCAUCGUCGUCGUCAUCAACAACAACAACAGUUCUGCUUCAGCUGGUUACGGGGAAGUGGCCCUUGGCCACUGUUGAUGUUAUUUAGCAGCCCUUGCCUGCUUUCUGAGAUUUUACUAGGCAUUACCACUUUCUUGUUUAUCUUUGCAGACAAGAGGACUAAAAUAAACUAGUUUUUUUCCUGCUUCUUCUUCAGUAAAAGCUGGGGCUCUUGGGAAGUUGAUUUUAUGCUUGAUACCACAUCUUGUGCUUUUGCUGCACCUGCAUAUAAUCACAGCAUGCCCAGAGUCAAGUACACUCACCAUGUUCUGAUGAAAAUCCCACACAUUUUAUUACGUAAACAGAGGGGCAUUGGCCAAGUUCCUAGAGGUAAGAAAUUUACAUUACUGAGAACCAAACAAAUAGGAAAAGCAAGAUAGCUAUGCUGUCUAUACAGUGGCACAUUUUAAGGGUGACAUGGAUGGGUGGGUGUGGCAGUGUGAUGCAGUGUGCAGUUGUGUUUGGUAUACUAGUUGUUAUGAGCUCCCUGCAUGUAAUAAGGCAAGUGGAUUUCAGCCUCAUCCGCUUCUGAAUCUGGUUGUGGCCAGGAUAAAACAAAAGAUAUGUAACAUCUUGUCAUGUCUGUCCUGAGCCUUUGAGGCCCCCAAAAGCAGGUAAAGCAGUUAAUAUGUGCUGGAAGAGAAGAGAUUUCUCAGGCAAGCCCCACCCACCAAGCCCUUUGUAAUUAUUUAAUCUCACCCUGUGGAAACCUUUUUUAUUUUUUAAAUUGAACUGUCAAUAUGCGUUGAUGCGGUAUCUGUUCUCUUGAGUACCCAGCACUGAGAGAUAUAAGAGAAAGGCUUGCACAGUUGAUUGGCUGAAGCUGAGAAGCAACAAGUGACUGCAGUUAUGCAAUGCAAGGUUAACAGCCCUGUUAUCAUGCAGAUCAAAAUUAAGAAAGGAAGGAAAGGGGAGCACAUUGUUGCAUAGAUCAUGUUAGGAACUGGGAGAAAUAAGCAGGGGGGAAACGGUGUUUCUCAUGCAUGAAUGACCUUAUGGUGUGCUUGGUAUUUCAGAGACCUGGUGGGAUCUAACGCAUGACUGGAAUACCUAUUAUUAUUAUUAUUAUUAUUAUUAUUAGUAUUUAUAUACCGCCCUAUACCUGGAGAUCUCAGGGCAGUUCACAGAAUAAAAUCAAAAUAUAAAACCACAAAAUACAUAAUCAAAAUAAAAACAACAACCAAAUAACCCCCCUCCCCCCAAAAAACCCCCACAUUUUAAAAGGGCAUAGGGUGCCAAUCAAAUCAACUAAAGGCCUGGUUAAAAAGGAACGUUUUUGCCUGGCACCUAGAGGUGUAUAAUGAAGGCACCAGGAGCACAGAGCUGUCCAUAGAAGGAGUGGCUAUCAGCUUGUUGGAUCUCUUAAAUGUCCAAGGCCAGGGAAAUGCAUGUAGCAGUAACUAUAGGAUGGGUUCAAUGGGCAUAAAGAUUCUGGAAAGAUUUGUGUUCCCGCAGUGCUGGAGCAAUUGAAGGCUCUAUGGAAUAGCUUCUCAUGCCAUGCGUAGUGAUUCCCCUUAGCCUUUAAGUGUAGAUGAACUGAGAACUACCCAUUCCACUGAGCUAAGGAAAAUGAUUAGGCAUGGACUGCCCCUUCCCCCGCACUCUAGACUUGAUCAGGGACACGGGUGGCACUGUGGUCUAAACAACUUGGGCUUGCCAAUCAGAAGGUCGGCAGCUUGAAUCCCCGCAACAGAGUGAGCUCCUGUUGCUCUGUCCCAGCUCCUGUCAACCUAGCAGUUUGAAAGCAUGCCAGUGCAGUAGAUAAAUAGGUACAGCUGUGGCAGGAAGGUAAAUGGCGUUUCCGGGAGCUCUGGUUUCCAUCAGGGUGUUCCGUUGCACCAGAAGCAGUUUAGUCAUGCUAGCCACAUGACCCGGAAAGCUGCCUGAGGACAAACGCUGGCUCCCCCAGCCUGAAAGCGAGAUGAGCGCUGCAACCCCGUAGUAGCCUUUGACUGGACUUAACCAUCCAGGGGUCCUUUACCUUUGCCUUAGUCUUGAUCAUAGGAUCACAGUGCUUUAACUAAGUGGCCAAGCAGCUUGAGAGCCACGUGUUAAAAGUAUAUUCUAUGGAAGGCAGAGUGAUUUAUUCCAUUAGCAAGUCUUCAGGGACCUGUUCAAAUGUACUUCACUGACUGGGCAUCUGUUUUCCUACCUGCAAUAUGUAGCUUAAGAUGUGCUGCUUUAAAAAAUAUCACAGGGCAUGUCCAGAAUAGAGAAUAGGAGAUUAAGAGACCGUGCAACAGUAGUUUACCUCAACUUCUGCAAAUAAAAAAAGAAUUAUUUACCAGAGCCACUUUUCAUCACUUCUUUGUUUCACUGUGUUGAAUUGCUUUACAAUCUGUGUCUCACAUACUCUCACAACAAUUAAGGAGAGAAAUGCAGUGCAAACCCAACUGUCACUUUAACAAUGCCCAGUCUCCCUAGUUUCUCCAUUACCUCCUGGUGGGUAAGUCACAUCCUUCCCCCCUAGUUCCCAAUACAGGUGCUGAGGAAAGGCAGCUGCCUCACAUGUGGCAGUCACUACCUUUUUGUAUUUGCCUCUUUCUAGAAGUCAUCCACUAGCCCCUGGCCAUUUUCCUGGCUCCAUGCACACUGGCUGGGAGAGGCUUCACUGAGAGACAGGGGGCCAUGAUUGGCUGCUGCUUUGGACCCAAGUUGCUGAAGCUAUGAGGCAAGCCAAUGAGAGACACUCCUGGGGCAUGAUGUUCUGCACCCCCACCACUGAAGGCUUCAGGUGCAAAUAUGUAUAAAAUAAACCAUAUUUCUUAAAGGCACUCAUAUCUGCUGUGCCUCAUUUGUGUUUCUUUGAACACAAACCUGGUUAAGUGCCAAGACCCCUGAAAUCUCUUGCUACCUCCUGGCAGAGAUUGGGGUGGCCUGUAAUGCUACAUUUUCCUACUUUGUGAUAUCUACUUCCUACAACUCUGUUCAUAUCUUUUUGGCUUCAUCAGAUCAGAUUGCUAGUAGCUCUCUGUAUGUCUAUAAAUAUUCCCACCACUCGUUUGCAACUUGAAAGAGGAUAAGCAAACAUUCGAAGGCAUAUUUGAAACUUAAAUGCACAUGGGAUGCAUGCUAUUAUUCUCCAUUCCUGGUGUCCUUUUUCUAGAGUCAGAUCCCACAAGCCAUUAUUCAUGUCAGAAAAAGGCUUACAGGAUCAAACCUUUGCAUUGUAAGGCAGGUUAUUUUUGGAUCAAGAGCUUACCUUAGGAGAUUUAAGUUCACAGACUCUGUUGCCGGGGACAUUAAAAGCUUGGAAGAGUCACCAUAUGGGUUUACUGACUUUACACUGGCCAGCCUUGAUCUUCUCUUUGUGCUUCAUCCAAAGGUCAUUAAAGUCAAUGGGGUUUUUCCAUUGAUUUCAAAUAGAUUUCAAUCUAAUCCCAAGCCUCCCCCACCCCUAACCAGAGCUUUAGUGCUUUGGCAGGGGUGGGGUGGGGGGCGGCUUGCCACUAUAGGCGUGUACAAAGCACUGUCCCUUUGUACCCCAACAAUGCCAAGGUAAAGGCAAUGCUUUGUCAGUCGCCACUCUUGCUUUCCCUUUUGCCCAGAAGGGGCUGUCAUUUGAAUCUCUUGGUCCUGAGAGGUUUGCUUAUUCAAAGACAUGAGCGAUUUGCUGUUGUUUUCCGAUUCCUGUAUGAUUUACAGAACAUGGAUUAUUGUGGGCGUGUGGGAGGGGAGAGGCUUCAGUAUGCUACUCGUCUCAUCAGACAUUUGCAGCCUGCAUGUGUUUUGCUCCCCCACCCCCUGCUUCCCAGAUCAAAAGACAGCCAGCUUUGGCAGAACAAAUGCACGAUUAGCGCCCAUGUUGGCAAAUUAAGAGAAGCAGUUUGUGCAGACGGGGAAGGUAAAUUAUGAACAGCAAUGAUGGGAUGGGAGGCAAACAUGAAGACAAUGCCCCUAGAAGAGUGAAAUGGACAGCACUGAGUAGGAAGAGAGAAAGUGUAAGGAUUAUUACAUAGCCCAAGGCCUAGCCAGAUUCUCCAAUCAGCCAUUGGAUUGAUCUUUUGACUCUUCCCUUCCAACCAUCACUGCCCUACGCCUGAGGGUGGCUGACCUACAGGCCAUGGGAUGCAUAAAGCCCCCACAAAAUGUUUUUGGUGGCCUCCUCCAAAUAUGUAAUGUCCACUUCAGCAGCACUGGUUUCAUGUGGCCCCCAGAGUGUUGACCGUGGGCCCAAGUGUCCCCUGGCACUGAAGGGAUUAGCACUACACCUUUUUUUCCUGCUCUUGGUAGUACUAGUAUCCAACUUUUAGGACCUUGUAUUUUUUUAGCACACUCUCCAUGCACAGGGAGUGACUGGGAGAGGAGCACAGUUGUGUUCUCUGGAAGAAAAAGGCCACUUUCUCAUCAUGCAUUUAAAGUCAUGACUUGCCCCAAAGAGUUCUGAGAGCUGUAGUUUGUAAUUGGUGCUGAGAGUUGUUAGGAAGCCCCUCUUCCCCUCUCAGCAUGGACAUAGCCAAUAUUUUUGUUGAGGAGGGGGCGUGUUUGUUUAUUGAUUGGGGCAGGGCAGCUUCAUGGCCUCCCAGAGUGACAGUUUCCAGUGAGGAGGGAUUGAUUGCUAAAUCACUCGUUAGAUUUCUAAGGGAAGCACCCUUAACAAACUACAGCUUCCAGAAUUCUCGAGGGGACCCCAUGACUGCUUAAAGUGGUAUCAUAGUACUUUAAAUGUAUGGUGUGAAUGUGGCCAUUGUGAUUAGGUCAGGUGAUGGUUCAGGAGCUUGCUGGAAGGCAGGACUGUCCUGUCCAGCAAUUUAAUUCACUAAUGUAAGAUGUGUUGUGCAAUAUGCCUGCGUGUUGUUUGCCACCUAGCAAGUGAGCAAUGGAGGGGUUGCCUCUGGCUGCUUAAGGCUUAGUUAAAAACUAGAAUUGUGAUAAUCCACUGCCCACAACUUUUGCAGUGUGUGUGUGUGUGUGUGUGUGCCUUAUCAGAUUGGAUCCACAUGCUCAUACUAGACUAUUGUUUGCUAGAAUGCUUCUGUGAACAGACAUUGACUUGAAGGGUGUAAAGGCCUAUAGAGGAGCCAACAGUAGAGGGUUGUUAGGCUAGUGCAUUUUGAGAGCAGAGGACUUGCUGGGAUGAGGCAGGCCAAGCUCUGAGCUUCUUGUGUGUGAGAAAGGAAGAGGGCGGUCAGCUAGCAGAGCAAGUGGUAAUGAUGGCCCAAGCUACCUAGCAGGAGAGCAUGUUCACAGAAGAGAGUAUGGAAGUUCUGCCAAAGGCCAGCAUAUGCACUGCUACUUCUCCUGCCUACUCCUCCCCAUGAGGUGAGGAAGAGUGGAGCCUCCAUUGAGUCCCUAGUGCUCCCCCUUGUGAAAUCUAGUGGGGCUAAAGGCAGCUCUCACAUCUUGCCAGCUUCCCAAAUUAAUUCAUAUUAAUUUUUUCUGCUCCACCUCUCUCUCCCACCCCCUGCAAAAUAAUUGCAUCUUUAAAUCAUUGGUUGUUUUCACAUUUGCAAAAGGCAGUGACUCCUGCAUUGUCUGAGGUAGGAAAAUCGCUGAAAGGGGCUAAAGGUGAGCCAACUUUGAAAGAGCAAGGUAGAUGCCAUUAGCCACCUUUUCUUUCAAGAUAUUUCUAAGCACUUAGUCUAACACAAAGCAGAGAGAGCCGCUGUGUUUCACAAAGGAACUAAUUUGUUUUCUAGCCUGUUGAAAACCAGGAAAACACGGGAGUCCAUCAAUGCUUCAACCAGCAAGUGAUCUAGUAUGUCUGGAAGUGUCUGCUGCCAGAGCUGUUCCAGUUCCACAGGCC
rnacentral:lncRNA from 1 species